UACGUAGGGUCCGAGCGUUGUCCGGAAUUACUGGGCGUAAAGAGCUCGUAGGUGGUUUGUCGCGUUGUUCGUGAAAACUCACAGCUUAACUGUGGGCGUGCGGGCGAUACGGGCAGACUUGAGUACUGCAGGGGAGACUGGAAUUCCUGGUGUAGCGGUGGAAUGCGCAGAUAUCAGGAGGAACACCGGUGGCGAAGGCGGGUCUCUGGGCAGUAACUGACGCUGAGGCACGGAAAGCUAGGGGAGCAAACAGG
rnacentral:rRNA from 1 species